AGCGAACGCUGGCGGCAGGCUUAACACAUGCAAGUCGAGCGGGCACUUUCGGGUGUCAGCGGCGGACGGGUGCGUAACGCGUGGGAACGUGCCCUCUGGUUCGGAAUAACUCAGGGAAACUUGAGCUAAUACCGGAUACGCCCUUUUGGGGAAAGGCUUGCUGCCGGAGGAUCGGCCCGCGUCUGAUUAGCUAGUUGGUGAGGUAACGGCUCACCAAGGCGACGAUCAGUAGCUGGUCUGAGAGGAUGAUCAGCCACACUGGGACUGAGACACGGCCCAGACUCCUACGGGAGGCAGCAGUGGGGAAUAUUGGACAAUGGGCGCAAGCCUGAUCCAGCCAUGCCGCGUGAGUGAUGAAGGUCUUAGGGUUGUAAAGCUCUUUUAUCCGGGACGAUAAUGACGGUACCGGAGGAAUAAGCCCCGGCUAACUUCGUG
rnacentral:rRNA from 1 species